rnacentral:rRNA from 1 species
GAUGAACGCUGGCGGCGUGCCUAAUACAUGCAAGUCGAGCGAACAGACGAGGAGCUUGCUCCUCUGACGUUAGCGGCGGACGGGUGAGUAACACGUGGAUAACCUACCUAUAAGACUGGGAUAACUUCGGGAAACCGGAGCUAAUACCGGAUAAUAUAUUGAACCGCAUGGUUCAAUAGUGAAAGACGGUUUUGCUGUCACUUAUAGAUGGAUCCGCGCCGCAUUAGCUAGUUGGUAAGGUAACGGCAUACCAAGGCAACGAUGCGUAGCCGACCUGAGAGGGUGAUCGGCCACACUGGAACUGAGACACGGUCCAGACUCCUACGGGAGGCAGCAGUAGGGAAUCUUCCGCAAUGGGCGAAAGCCUGACGGAGCAACGCCGCGUGAGUGAUGAAGGUCUUCGGAUCGUAAAACUCUGUUAGUAGGGAAGAACAAAUGUGUAAGUAACUAUGCACGUCUUGACGGUACCUAAUCAGAAAGCCACGGCUAACUACGUG